GUCCAGAAAUGGGAAUCGAACCCACACUGUUCCGCUUACCAGGCAGAUGCCAUGUUCACACUAGGCUACCCUGGA